rnacentral:rRNA from 1 species
UACGGAGGGUGCAAGCGUUAUCCGGAUUUACUGGGCUUAAAGGGUAUGUAGGCGGGUUUUUAAGUCAGGGGUGAAAUCUCCAGGCUCAACCUGGAAACUGCCCCUGAUACUAUUAGUCUUGAAUAUUGAUGAGGUGGGCGGAAUGGGUCAUGUAGCGGUGAAAUGCUUAGAGAUGACCCGGAACACCAAUGGCGAAGGCAGCUCACUGGGCAAUAACUGACGCUGAGGCACGAAAGCGUGGGGAGCAAACAGG